rnacentral:rRNA from 1 species
GGCCCCUGACCGGGGUUGCGGACAGUGUCUGGUGGGUAGUUUGACUGGGGCGGUCUCCUCCCAAAGCGUAACGGAGGAGCACGAAGGUUAGCUAAUCCUGGUCGGACAUCAGGAGGUUAGUGCAAUGGCAUAAGCUAGCUUGACUGCGAGCGUGACGGCGCGAGCAGGUGCGAAAGCAGGUCAUAGUGAUCCGGUGGUUCUGAAUGGAAGGGCCAUCGCUCAACGGAUAAAAGGUACUCCGGGGAUAACAGGCUGAUACCGCCCAAGAGUUCAUAUCGACGGCGGUGUUUGGCACCUCGAUGUCGGCUCAUCACAUCCUGGGGCUGAAGUAGGUCCCAAGGGUAUGGCUGUUCGCCAUUUAAAGUGGUACGCGAGCUGGGUUUAGAACGUCGUGAGACAGUUCGGUCCCUAUCUGCCGUGGGCGCUGGAGAAUUGAGGGGGGCUGCUCCUAGUACGAGAGGACCGGAGUGGACGCAUCACUGGUGUUCGGGUUGUCAUGCCAAUGGCACUGCCCGGUAGCUAAAUGCGGAAGAGAUAAGUGCUGAAAGCAUCUAAGCACGAAACUUGCCCCGAGAUGAGUUCUCCCUGAGACUUUAAGUCUCCUGAAGGAACGUU